UAUAAUUGUAAUUUUAUUUUUAAUUAUUAAAAGUUAUGGUCUUAAAAAUUAAGAAAUUUGGCGGUAUUUUAUUCAGUUUAGAGGAACCUGUUCUGUAAUUGAUAAUCCACGAUUAGAAUUACUUGUUUUAGAAAUUUGUAUAUCGUUGUUUAAGAAUUUCUUUUUUAGGAAAAUUUUCUUUUACUUUAAUAUUAGUUUAUUUCAGAUCAAGGCACAGUUUAUAAAUAAGGAGAAAUGGGUUACAAUAAAUUUUUAUUUGGUUAUUAAAUUUUAAAUUUUAAUAUAAAUUGGAUUUAAUAGUAAUUAUAAUUACAUAUUUAUAAUGAUUUUUUUUCUAAAAUAUGC
rnacentral:rRNA from 1 species